CAAAGGAAGCGAUUCCGGCAACGGAUGGGCAUGCGUGACAUUAGCUAGUUGGCGGGGCAACGGCCCACCAAGGCGACGAUGUCUAGGGGUUCUGAGAGGAAGGUCCCCCACACUGGUACUGAGACACGGACCAGACUCCUACGGGAGGCAGCAGUGAGGAAUAUUGGUCAAUGGGCGCGAGCCUGAACCAGCCAAGUCGCGUGAGAGAUGACGGCCCUACGGGUUGUAAACCUCUUUUGUCGGGGAGCAAAUUCCGCCACGCGUGGCGGAGUCGAGAGUACCCGAAGAAAAAGCAUCGGCUAACUCCGUGCCAGCAGCCGCGGUAAUACGGAGGAUGCGAGCGUUAUCCGGAUUUAUUGGGUUUAAAGGGUGCGUAGGCGGACUGUCAAGUCAGCGGUAAAAUACGGGGGCUCAACCUCCGCCCGCCGUUGAAACUGACGGUCUUGAGUGGGCGAGAAGUAUGCGGAAUGCGUGGUGUAGCGGUGAAAUGCAUAGAUAUCACGCAGAACUCCGAUUGCGAAGGCAGCAUACCGGCGCCCAACUGACGCUGAAGCACGAAAGCGUGGGUAUCGAACAGGAUUAGAUACCCUGGUAGUCCACGCAGUAAACGAUGAAUACUAGCUGUCCGGGGCGAAUGAGCCCUGG
rnacentral:rRNA from 1 species